rfam:Felis catus isolate Cinnamon breed Abyssinian chromosome C2, whole genome shotgun sequence.
ACCUUGCUGGCUCAGUUGGUGGAGCAUGAAAUUCUUGAUCUCGGGGUUGUGAGUUCAAGUCCUACGUUGGGUG